UAUGAAGUUUACCUUCGUGCAAUGUUUGUCUGAAGUCUAGGAACUGUCAACAACAACAACGAGCAUCUUUCCUGUACAAGAAGCAUAGCGUGAAUAAAAACACAAACAAUAUUUAUCGUUGACAAUCGUCUUCAAUAAAAAACGACAUGAAUAUUUCUCUGUUAAAGACAAAAUCGUCAUCAUAUAAGGUUGAAAAACAUCGAUGUUUGUGGUUUAUAUUCACCAUGAUGAUAGACUUGCAUAACUGUAAAGAAAGUGAUGCAUAUAAAAUUAAAUACACAUUUUCAUA